rnacentral:rRNA from 1 species
AACGAACGCUGGCGGCAGGCUUAACACAUGCAAGUCGAACGGUUGUAGCAAUACAGCAGUGGCAGACGGGUGAGUAACACGUGGGAACCUUCCUAGGGGUACGGUACAACUCAGGGAAACUUGAGCUAAUACCGUAUACGUCCGUGAGGAGAAAGAUUUAUCGCCCUUAGACGGGCCCGCGUCGGAUUAGCUAGUUGGUGGGGUAACGGCCUACCAAGGCGACGAUCCGUAGCUGAUCUUAGAGGAUGAUCAGCCACACUGGGACUGAGACACGGCCCAGACUCCUACGGGAGGCAGCAGUGGGGAAUCUUGGACAAUGGGCGCAAGCCUGAUCCAGCCAUGCCGCGUGAGUGAAGAAGGUCUUCGGAUUGUAAAGCUCUUUUGCCAGGGACGAUAAUGACGGUACCUGGAGAAUAAGCCCCGGCAAACUUCGUGCCAGCAGCCGCAGUAA